rnacentral:rRNA from 1 species
CCUACGGGAUGCAGCAGUGGGGAAUAUUGCACACUGGGGGAAACCCUGAUGCAGCGACGCCGCGUGGGUGACGAAGUAUUUCGGUAUGUAAAGCGCUAUCAUCAGUGAGGAAUAUGACAGUAACUGACUAAGAAGCCCCGGCUAACUACGUGCCAGCAGCCGCGGUAAUACGUAGGGGGCAAGCGUUAUCCGGAUUAACUGGGUGUAAAGGGAGCGUAGGUUGCAUGGCAAGCUAGUAGUGAAAACCCGGGGCUUAACCCCGCAGAUUACUUUUGGAAAUGUAAGGCUCGAGUGCAGGAGGGGCAGGUGGAAUUCCUGGUGUAGGGGUGAAAUGCGUAGAUAUUAGGAGGAACACCGGUGGCGAAGGCGGCCUGCUGGAAUGUAACUGACACUGAGGCUCGAAAGCGUAGGGAGCAAACAGGAUUAGAUACCCCAGUAGUC